rnacentral:snRNA from 1 species
GGAUGUGAAGGGAUCUGCCUGCAGUAUCUGCCACCCAUUGGUCACCAGGGUUGAUUUGGCUGACCUGGAUGGCUCGGCGGGGGUGCCCUCCCCCUUCCCGCCCCCGAGCCUACCUCCGAGCUCGGAGCUCAGGGGAAGAGGACGACCACCCCCAUAGAGGAGGCCUGUUUCCUCAAUCAAGGGUAUAGCGGUUGCUGCGCUCCCCUGCUGGAACCUGCAAACAAGGUCUCAAAUUUCAGAUGAUCGUGCUGAAGUAUGUAAUUUAUGUAUCUCAUUUCAUGAAGAACUUUUCAUCUUGAAAUGUUGAAUUUU